ACUUCCAGAGCCGGAACGAAAAGUGCAACGAAGUUGAGUGUUAACUCACGGAAUUUUGGGGUGCUUUUGGCUUGUGGUCGUGAUGUUGUGUUUGCAAUUGACCUGACGGUUUUCGGGUCCGGUGGCUUACGCCGCCAUUUUUCCUGUAGAUUUACCCUGUCUGUCCAUAUUGAUUUUUACAGCACCGCAAACUGCGGUGCUUUUUUUU
rnacentral:other from 1 species